UUAAUUGUAUAAACUGAAUGUUAAGAAACACUUAAAUCUGCCAUUUUGUUUUUGUUUAUUUCACAAUUAUAGUGAUUAUUCCACAGUUGAAAGUAUAUGUCGCUGUCAAUGGGCGACAUCACACUUUUGUUGUUUUGCAUUUAAUUUCGAUAUCUUUAACUUCCACUUUGAUUAAGUUUACAGUCGCAAGGUGGAAGGUGCAUUUAUAGCUUCAGAGUCUUACUUUGUCGACAAACCCUUAUUCUUUUUUAGAGUUUGACGAUACACUAUGUUUUUUAUUGUCUUAAUUUGUCUUUUUUUUUUAUAUAAGUGAACGUCGAUAAAAGAUUGAUGGAAGAUAAAUAAGUGUCAUUCAAAAUCAUAGGCUACAGUGUUGUUAAUGAACUACGUUUAGUGAACAACGUUUUAUGACUAUGAAGUUACACAUACUUUGACGUUGUGUUGUAUUUUACCGAUGUGAAAUUCAUUAAAUUACUUUAUGCAAAAAUAACAAUGGCAAUGACCUUAUGAUUAUGUUACAUCAUACAAAUGGAAAUCUAUCAGACAACAUAACGAUUUGGAAGAAAAAACUAGAGACUGUCAAUUCAUAUCUUUGUAGAUAAUAAUUUUAAAUGAAUUUGUGUAGUAACAUUUUUUUAACUUAAAUUCUGAAUAGAUAUUUUACUUAUUUCAAGGAUUUGCAAUCAAUGGAAAUAUAAUGUUAAAAUGUUGAUUUGUUUUCAAUUUUUAGUAAGUGUUGAUUGUAUUCGACAUUUUUUUAUUGAGUUAAGCCUGCUAAUUGAUAUUUUAUCGUGUGUUUUUCUAUGUUGUGAUGUUAUGCUAUUGUUUCGGAAAAAGGGAGAAGGUUUGGUACCAUUAAAACGUUUAAUCCCGCUGCAAAUGUUUGCACCUGUCCUAAGUCAGGAAUCUGAUGUACAGUAGUUGUCGUUUGUUUAUGUAAUUUAUACGUGUUUGACGUUCUCGUUUUUUUUAUAUAGAUUAGACCGUUGGUUUUCCCUUUUGAAUGAUUUUACACUAGUAAUUUUGGGACCCUUUAUAGCU
rnacentral:lncRNA from 1 species